GAAACUCGUGAGAUUAAAGAAGUUACAUUGCUACGGCCUUUGUGCUGGGCCCGUUAAUUCCGAUCCUCACACUACGGCCGGCCUCCCAGCUCAUCCAGCCACGAGCGGCACUCCGCCUGGCCGGCUGGGCCGGGUUCCAGGUUGAUGCUCGAAAAAUUGACGUUGUUGAAUUUAUAUGCGAUAACCUCGACCUUAAUGGCGCCGACGACCGUGGUCUGAACAGCAGGUUACCUAGGAGCAAUUCCCUAAAUCUAACCUGAGUAAGGUUAAUGGUCUGUGAUUACGCGGGCCAUAACAAUAAAUAACAGUGGUGGAGGGACACAGUCCUAACCCAUUAAACGUGCGGACGACGGAAGGAACCUACACCAUCGGCAAAGAGUCCGAGGGAGAGGCCUUAGCUUGGGGUUAAGAGGCAGUGUGCAGUGGUGGUACCAUCCGGGGAUAGGACGGUAGCUUUCAACUAUCCCGUCUUUAAACUUACUACGCAGUGGCCGUG
rnacentral:rRNA from 1 species